rnacentral:tRNA from 1 species
GUGGCGGGUAGCUCAGUGGUAGAGUGCUUUACCCUUAUUCACUCCUUGCCUGCAAAGGCCGAAGAAUUGAGGGUUAUCGAUUAGGGUUCGAGAGGUCGCAGGUUCAAAUCCUGCUCCGCUACA